GGGGAAUAUUGCACAAUGGGCGAAAGCCUGAUGCAGCAACGCCGCGUGAGCGAUGAAGGCCUUUGGGUCGUAAAGCUCUGUCCUUGGGGAAGAAACAAAUGACGGUACCCAAGGAGGAAGCCCCGGCUAACUACGUGCCAGCAGCCGCGGUAAUACGUAGGGGGCAAGCGUUAUCCGGAAUUAUUGGGCGUAAAGAGUACGUAGGUGGUCUUUUAAGCGCAGGGUUUAAGGCAAUGGCUUAACCAUUGUUCGCCCUGUGAACUGGAAGACUUGAGUGUAGGAGAGGAAAGUGGAAUUCCUAGUGUAGCGGUGAAAUGCGUAGAUAUUAGGAGGAACAUCAGUGGCGAAGGCGACUUUCUGGACUAUUACUGACACUGAGGUACGAAAGCGUGGGGAGCAAAC
rnacentral:rRNA from 1 species